AAUAAGAAUUUAAUUUUGGUUCUGAUUGAACGUUUUUCAGUGGUUUUAAGACAUGCAAAUCUUUUGUUUAUAAAGGUAAAUACAAUUAUUUAUUUUAAUAAAAUAACAUUUAUUACAUAAUAGUUUAUUACUAAUAAAAAAUAAGGUGUAAAGGUGAGUAAUAUGUGAUUAGAUACCUUAUAGUCUCCUUAGUUGGGAGAUAAUUUAUUUCUUUAAUAUUAAAAAUUUAAGAUACUUUAAUUUUAUAUAAUUAAUUAUAUAAUUUUAUUAGGAUAAGUAAGGAUAAAUAAGCUAUUUAUUCAAUAAAGGAAGUUUUCUGCUAUAAGAUUUGAUCCAUUCUGUUUAAAGGUAGUUGGUAGAGUAAAAGCCUACCAAGCCAACGAUCAGAAGCCAAGUUUGAUAGAUCAAAUGGCCACAUUGGGAGUGAAAUGCCCCUAGUAGUUUAUACUACCAGCAGUCAAGAAUAUUAGUCAAUGCUCGCAAGAGUGAACUAGCUAACUGAAAUCGUAUUUUUCGUGUAUGCGGUGAAAUGCGAUAAUGUAAAGGAAAAAAUAUGAUAUUACUUUACUAAAAGUGUUGUCCAAAUCUGGUGCCAGAAGACUCGGUAACGCCAGAAACGCGAACGUUAGUCACAUUAACCAGGCGUAAAGGGUUCGUAGGCAGUUUAAAAUUUAAAAUUUUAUAUAGCUAUUUAAAUAUAUAUUUUUUUAUAUGUUUAUUUUAAAAUUUUAAUUAAUUUAAGAUAGAAUCAAAUUGAGGAUAAGCCGAAUAAUGCUUAGAGUAGGGAUUAAAUCCUUAGAUACUAGGUGGAAUACUAAUGGUGAAAGCUUUUUAUCUAAUAAUGAUCGACGCUGAGGAACGAAGGUGAGAAUAGAAAAUAGGAUUAGAGACCCAGAUAUCUCUCACUGUCAACGAUGAAUGGUGGAAAGUUAGUUUUAAUAACUAGUACCGAUGUUAACGCGAUAACCAUUCCGCCUUGAGAGUACGGUCGCAAGACUGAAACCAAAAAAAUUAGUCGGUCUCGAAGCAAACGAAGUGAAGCAUGUUAUUUAAUACGAGAGUACGCGUAAAAUCUUACCAGUUCUUGCAUAUCCAUAUUUAGUUUAAAUUUAUAUUUAAAGGAUUAAAUUUCCUCCCUCCCUGUCCUUAUUACUAAGUAGUAAUUACAUGGGUAGGUGCUGGAAAUCUAUAUUUUUAAGUGUGAUAUUUAUAUUAAAUAUGUGUAGUUAUUUAUUUUUUUAAUUUAAUAACUCGUUUACAGGUGUUGCAUGGCUGUCGUCAGUCCGUGUUUUGAGAAGUAAGGUUAACUCCACUAACGGACGAAAUCCCUGUUAUAUAUUUAUACUUUAUAACUAAUGAUUUUUAAAUAUUUUCAUUUGGGGCUAAGACAAGUCGUUAUGGCCCUCAUGAACUGGGCUAUUGACGUGCCACAAGAACUUUUACAAAGUGAUGCAAAACCGGACCUUGUAUUGUUUUAUUAGAUUGCUCUCCUGCUAUAUGUAGGGAGCAUUUAUUUUACUUUUAUUAAAAGAAGUAAAAGCUAAUAAAAUAGAGCUUAAUUUGUCAGCCUUAAUCUUAAACCGAAAGGUAGGUAAAGGUCAACGCUAAUUAAAGCUCCCUUUUUGUAAUAGAAAAGGAUUAUUUAUCUGUAAUUUAUAUUUAGAUAAUUUAGGUCAAAAGGAAUAGCUAAUCAUUAAAGAAAGUUACUAUUAUUAAACUUUUAUAAGACGGAUUGUCUCCUGAAAUUCGGAGACAUGAAGAAGGAAUUUCGAGUAAUCGUUGAUCACUAGCGCAACGGUGAAGAUUGCAUUCGUGAUGAACUAACUGUCUGUCACUGGGAAGGAAUUCGGAUAGGGGGAAAAAGCCAAAUAUUUAUAAUUUUUCAAAGGAGUAUUAAUUAAUAAUAUAAUUAAUUUUAUAUUAAUUUAGUGCAGUUUUAAUUAUAGAUUUAUCUUAUAGAGAUUAUAGGGGAUAAUCUAUUGAUUUAAUUAAUUUAAAUCUUUUAUCCCACCCUCCAUCCUUUAACGGAGGAGGUGGUAACAAAAUAAACAUCUUUGUUAAACUAAUUAUUAUCUUUUAACCCAUUUGAGUAACAUCUCAAAAGUCAUAGCAAGGUAGCUGUACUGGAAGGUGCAGCUGGAAAAUAAAAACAAAUUAAACCC
rnacentral:rRNA from 1 species